rnacentral:rRNA from 1 species
AUACGUAGGUGGCGAGCGUUAUCCGGGAUUAUUGGGCGUAAAGAGCGCGCAGGUGGUUGAUUAAGUCUGAUGUGAAAGCCCACGGCUUAACCGUGGAGGGUCAUUGGAAACUGGUCGACUUGAGUGCAGAAGAGGGAAGUGGAAUUCCAUGUGUAGCGGUGAAAUGCGUAGAGAUAUGGAGGGACACCAGUGGCGAAGGCGGCUUCCUGGUCUGUAACUGACACUGAGGCGCGAAAGCGUGGGGAGC